UACGUAGGGCGCAAGCGUUGUCCGGAUUUACUGGGCGUAAAGAGCGUGUAGGCGGCCAUGCAGGUCCGUUGUGAAAACUGGAGGCUUAACCUCCAGACGUCGACGGAAACCGCGUGGCUAGAGUCCGGAAGAGGAGAGUGGAAUUCCUGGUGUAGCGGUGAAAUGCGCAGAUAUCAGGAAGAACACCAAUGGCGAAGGCAGCUCUCUGGGACGGUACUGACGCUGAGACGCGAAAGCGUGGGGAGCGAACAGG
rnacentral:rRNA from 1 species